rnacentral:lncRNA from 1 species
UUACGUCUAUACAAAAGUUAAAUAUAAAAUAAUCAAAAUAGCUUCUUAUCGGGUAAGCAUUUUAGUAUUAGAUAUAACCCUUGCAACAAUCUAAUAUCAAUACACCACACAACACUUGCAAAAGUUUUUCCUCUUUCCUCAAAUUCCAUUGUAGCACCUUCAAAAAGCUUUCUUUAAUGUUCUUCCUGCACGUUUUCUACCACUAGUUCCACACAUUACUGCACCUG